CCUGGAAGCCUCAAGAUGGCUAAUGUAACGGAUAGAGUGGGUGAUAUCACGGAGGAUAAUGUCUGGACGCUGAAUCAAUGUAAAGGAGUUACAAAUACCAUUGGUUUUCCUGAAAGGAAAUAGAAAAAUCAAUAUGGGUGAGGAUGAUGAAGCCGAGCAGCAGAGGUUACACUUCCUGUGCCCUGCAUAUGAAGCAGGACAUCGCAGACAACACACUUACAUGAUCA